rnacentral:misc_RNA from 1 species
UUGUGGAGGAGGACGCCGAAGGUGGGGCUAAUGACUGGGGUGAAGUCGUAACAAGGUAGCCGUACCGGAAGGUGCGGCUGGAUCACCUCCUAACAGGGAGACAACAAAAUGUAAAUAUUAAUUUUGUCACCUUAGGUCGAUCGGUAUCUCAGAUUCUUAUUUUUAAGAAUUUCAGUUUCUAAGUUUUUUCUAGGUCACACCCAUCACUUUUUCCUGGGCCAUUAGCUCAGGUGGUUAGGGCGCACCCCUGAUAAGGGUGAGGUCCCUGGUUCAAGUCCAGGAUGGCCCAUAUCUCUAUGUUGGGGGUAUAGCUCAGUUGGUAGAGCGCCUGCUUUGCAAGCAGGAUGUCAGCGGUUCGAGUCCGCUUACCUCCACUGAAUACCACCUCUUACAUAUAUUUAAAGUGGGAAAUUGUUUUGAUUUGUGUCCUAAUUUGCUCUGAGCGAAUCUAGCUUCCUAUUUAUUAAAUAAAUAAGAUGCUGGACUCAUUGAAUUUUUAUUCUUUGUUUUCAGAGAACCUUGACAACUGCAUAGAUUAUUUUUGAAGACAAUAAGCAUCUUUAAUGAUGCAGAUUUAUUAUUUGUGCGAAUGCAUUAAAUAACAAUUCUAUUAAGCUGAUGCUUCAAUUAUUGAAGUUAUUGGUCAAGCUACAA